AGUGAACGCUGGCGGUAGGCCUAACACAUGCAAGUCGAACGGCAGCACAGUAAGAGCUUGCUCUUACGGGUGGCGAGUGGCGGACGGGUGAGGAAUACAUCGGAAUCUACUUUUUCGUGGGGGAUAACGUAGGGAAGCUUACGCUAAUACCGCAUACGACCUACGGGUGAAAGCAGGGGAUCUUCGGACCUUGCGCGAUUGAAUGAGCCGAUGUCGGAUUAGCUAGUUGGCGGGGUAAAGGCCCACCAAGGCGACGAUCCGUAGCUGGUCUGAGAGGAUGAUCAGCCACACUGGAACUGAGACACGGUCCAGACUCCUACGGGAGGCAGCAGUGGGGAACAUUGGACAAUGGGCGCAAGCCUGAUCCAGCCAUACCGCGUGGGUGAAGAAGGCCUUCGGGUUGUAAAGCCCUUUUGUUGGGAAAGAAAAGCAGCAGGUUAAUACCCCGCUGUUCUGACGGUACCCAAAGAAUAAGCACCGGCUAACUUCGUG
rnacentral:rRNA from 1 species